rnacentral:rRNA from 1 species
CUACGGGAUGCAGCCGUGAGGAAUAUUGCACAAUGGGGGAAACCCUGAUGCAGCAACGCCGCGUGGAGGAUGACGCAUUUCGGUGUGUAAACUCCUUUUAUGAGUCAAGAAAAUGACGGUAGCUCAUGAAUAAGCACCGGCUAACUCCGUGCCAGCAGCCGCGGUAAUACGGAGGGUGCAAGCGUUACUCGGAAUCACUGGGCGUAAAGGACGCGUAGGCGGGAUGUCAAGUCAGGUGUGAAAUCCUAUGGCUCAACCAUAGAACUGCACUUGAAACUGGCAACCUAGAGUAUGGGAGGGGGAGAUGGAAUUAGUGGUGUAGGGGUAAAAUCCGUAGAUAUCACUAGGAAUACCGAAAGCGAAGGCGAUCUCCUGGAACAUUACUGACGCUAAGGCGUGAAAGCGUGGGGAGCAAACAGGAUUAGAUACCCCUGUAGUC